UACGAAGGGGGCUAGCGUUGCUCGGAAUCACUGGGCGUAAAGCGCACGUAGGCGGAUCUUUAAGUCAGGGGUGAAAUCCUGGAGCUCAACUCCAGAACUGCCUUUGAUACUGGAGGAUCUUGAGUCCGGGAGAGGUGAGUGGAACUCCGAGUGUAGAGGUGAAAUUCGUAGAUAUUCGGAAGAACACCAGUGGCGAAGGCGGCUCACUGGCCCGGUACUGACGCUGAGGUGCGAAAGCGUGGGGAGCAAACAGG
rnacentral:rRNA from 1 species